rnacentral:rRNA from 1 species
GACGAACGCUGGCGGCGUGCCUAAUACAUGCAAGUAGAACGCUGAAGCGAGGAGCUUGCUCUUCUUGGAUGAGUUGCGAACGGGUGAGUAACGCGUAGGUAACCUGCCUUGUAGCGGGGGAUAACUAUUGGAAACGAUAGCUAAUACCGCAUAACAAUGGCUGACACAUGUCAUUUAUUUGCAAGGGGCACUUGCUCCACUACAAGAUGGACCUGCGUUGUAUUAGCUAGUAGGUGAGGUAAUGGCUCACCUAGGCGACGAUACAUAGCCGACCUGAGAGGGUGAUCGGCCACACUGGGACUGAGACACGGCCCAGACUCCUACGGGAGGCAGCAGUAGGGAAUCUUCGGCAAUGGGGGCAACCCUGACCGAGCAACGCCGCGUGAGUGAAGAAGGUUGUCGGAUCGUAAAGGUCUGUUGUAAGUCAAGAACGGGGGUGAGAGUGGAAAGUUCACACUGUGACGGUAGCUGACCAGAAAGGGACGGCUAACUACGUG